rnacentral:rRNA from 1 species
GUACACUCCUGCGGGAGGCAGCAGUGGGGAAUUUUACGCAAUGGGGGAAACCCUGACGUAGCGACACCGCGUGAGCGAAGAAGCCCUUUGGGGUGUAAAGCUCUGUCAGCUGGAACGAAAACAAUGACGGUACCAGCAGAGGAAGCAUCGGCUAACUACGUGCCAGCAGCCGCGGUAAGACGUAGGAUGCGAGCGUUGUCCGGAUUUAUUGGGCGUAAAGAGUUCGUAGGUGGUUUGUUAAGUUUGGUGUUAAAGAUCGGGGCUCAACCCUGGGACUGCACUGAAUACUGGCAGACUCGAGUGUGGUAGAGGCUAGUGGAAUUCCCAGUGUAGCGGUGAAAUGCGUAGAUAUUGGGAAGAACACCGGUGGCGUAGGCGACUAGCUGGGCCAUAACUGACGCUGAGGAACGAAAGCCAGGGGAGCGAAUGGGAUUAGAAACCCGAGUAGUCCCAU